CGGGGGCGCCUGAAGUCCGUGACCGCAAGGGUCGGCCUAGGGUGAAACCGGUGAUUGGGGCUAAGUCGUAACAAGGUAGCCGUACCGGAAGGUGCGGCUGGAACACCUCCUUUCUGGAGAGAC
rnacentral:rRNA from 1 species